rnacentral:rRNA from 1 species
UACGUAGGGUGCAAGCGUUAAUCGGAAUUACUGGGCGUAAAGCGUGCGCAGGCGGUUAUGUAAGACAGAUGUGAAAUGCCCGGGCUUAACCUGGGAACUGCAUUUGUGACUGCAUGGCUAGAGUUUGGCAGAGGGGGGUAGAAUUCCACGUGUAGCAGUGAAAUGCGUAGAUAUGUGGAGGAACACCGAUGGCGAAGGCAGCCCCCUGGGCCUGCACUGACGCUCAUGCACGAAAGCGUGGGGAGCAAACAGG